GUCUAGCGGCGGACGGGUUAGUAACGCGUGGGAAUAUACCCUUCACUACGGAAUAGCCUCGGGAAACUGGGAGUAAUACCGUAUACGCCCUUUGGGGGAAAGAUUUAUCGGUGAAGGAUUAGCCCGCGUCUGAUUAGAUAGUUGGUGGGGUAAUGGCCUACCAAGUCUACGAUCAGUAGCUGGUUUGAGAGGAUGAUCAGCAACACUGGGACUGAGACACGGCCCAGACUCCUACGGGAGGCAGCAGUGGGGAAUCUUAGACAAUGGGCGCAAGCCUGAUCUAGCCAUGCCGCGUGAGUGACGAAGGCCUUAGGGUCGUAAAGCUCUUUCGCCAGAGAUGAUAAUGACAGUAUCUGGUAAAGAAACCCCGGCUAACUCCGUGCCAGCAGCCGCGGUAAUACGGAGGGGGUUAGCGUUGUUCGGAAUUACUGGGCGUAAAGCGCACGUAGGCGGAUUGGAAAGUAUGGGGUGAAAUCCCAGGGCUCAACCCUGGAACGGCCUUGUAAACUCCCAGUCUAGAGUUCGAGAGAGGUGAGUGGAAUUCCAAGUGUAGAGGUGAAAUUCGUAGAUAUUUGGAGGAACACCAGUGGCGAAGGCGGCUCACUGGCUCGAUACUGACGCUGAGGUGCGAAAGUGUG
rnacentral:rRNA from 1 species